GCGGGUAUGGCGGUAUUGGCAGUACGCAAGGGACUUAAAAUCCCUCGGAGGGGUAAACCCUCCUGUGGGUUCGACUCCCACUACCCGCACCA
rnacentral:tRNA from 1 species